AUUGAACGCUGGCGGCAGGCUUAACACAUGCAAGUCGAACGGUAGCAGGAGAAAGCUUGCUUUCUUGCUGACGAGUGGCGGACGGGUGAGUAAUGCUUGGGAAUCUGGCCUAUGGAGGGGGGAUAACGACGGGAAACUGUCGCUAAUACCGCGUAUUAUCGGAAGAUGAAAGUGCGGGACUGAGAGGCCGCAUGCCAUAGGAUGAGCCCAAGUGGGAUUAGGUAGUUGGUGGGGUAAAGGCCUACCAAGCCUGCGAUCUCUAGCUGGUCUGAGAGGGUGACCAGCCACACUGGAACUGAGACACGGUCCAGACUCCUACGGGAGGCAGCAGUGGGGAAUAUUGCGCAAUGGGGGGAACCCUGACGCAGCCAUGCCGCGUGAAUGAAGAAGGCCUUAGGGUUGUAAAGUUCUUUCGGUAUUGAGGAAGGUUGAUGUGUUAAUAGCACAUCAAAUUGACGUUAAAUACAGAAGAAGCACCGGCUAACUCCGUGCCAGCAGCCGCGGUAAUGCGGAGGGUGCGAGCGUUAAUCGGAAUAACUGGGCGUAAAGGGCACGCAGGCGGUUAUUUAAGUGAGGUGUGAAAGCCCCGGGCUUAACCUGGGAAUUGCAUUUCAGACUGGGUAACUAGAGUACUUUAGGGAGGGGUAGAAUUCCACGUGUAGCGGUGAAAUGCGUAGAGAUGUGGAGGAAUACCGAUGCGAAUGCAGCCCCUUGGGAAUGUACUGACGCUCAUGUGCGAAAGCGUGGGGAGCAACAGG
rnacentral:rRNA from 1 species